UACGGAGGGGGCUAGCGUUGUUCGGAAUUACUGGGCGUAAAGAGCUCGUAGGCGGUUUGUCGCGUCGGCCGUGAAAUCUCCACGCUUAACGUGGAGCGUGCGGUCGAUACGGGCAGACUUGAGUUCGGUAGGGGAGACUGGAAUUCCUGGUGUAGCGGUGAAAUGCGCAGAUAUCAGGAGGAACACCGGUGGCGAAGGCGGGUCUCUGGGCCGAUACUGACGCUGAGGAGCGAAAGCGUGGGGAGCGAACAGG
rnacentral:rRNA from 1 species